rnacentral:rRNA from 1 species
AGUGAACGCUGGCGGUAGGCCUAACACAUGCAAGUCGAACGGCAGCACAGGAGAGCUUGCUCUCUGGGUGGCGAGUGGCGGACGGGUGAGGAAUACAUCGGAAUCUACUCUGUCGUGGGGGAUAACGUAGGGAAACUUACGCUAAUACCGCAUACGACCUACGGGUGAAAGCAGGGGACCGUCGGGCCUUGCGCGAUUGAAUGAGCCGAUGUCGGAUUAGCUAGUUGGCGGGGUAAAGGCCCACCAAGGCGACGAUCCGUAGCUGGUCUGAGAGGAUGAUCAGCCACACUGGAACUGAGACACGGUCCAGACUCCUACGGGAGGCAGCAGUGGGGAAUAUUGGACAAUGGGCGCAAGCCUGAUCCAGCCAUACCGCGUGGGUGAAGAAGGCCUUCGGGUUGUAAAGCCCUUUUGUUGGGAAAGAAAUCCAGCUGGCUAAUACCCGGUUGGGAUGACGGUACCCAAAGAGUAAGCACCGGCUAACUUCGUGCCAGCAGCCGCAGUAA